AUGCCGCUGCUCUGCCUAUGGAGUAGUCAGUUUUUGUUCCUUAACUUUCUUAAUAAAUUUGCUUUCACUUUGUUACAGGAAAGGGGUCGAAAUCCAGACCACAAGAGAGGGUUCUUGGAUCACAUGCAACAAAGAAUCGUGGUACUUGAACCACAAGGAGCAGCAUGAGGGGGCUUAUAUCAACAUACACAUACUGACACUGAAAAGAGCAGAAGAAAAACAAAAGGUGAAGACUGUUUUUCUCUUAUAACCUAGUGCAUAUGUGUUACAGUGGGUGUACCAUAUUUAAUUGAAUCGAUCUAAGGUAUUAUUAUUUGUCUAGUAAUUAUUUUAGGCAUUAAGAAAGAAAAUAAGUUGCCAAUAGAGCUGAUACAAUACUUUCUUAUCACUUAAGAUUUUUAUUUUAUACUUACUGGAGGAAAUCUUACAGAUACUUAACUAUCGACUUUGAUUGUAUGUCACUCUUGUACGUACAUAAAAGAAAGUACAAGUGAGAUAACCGAGUUAACUUAUUCUGAAGCGUCUCCUCCAGCAUCUGACUUUCCUGAAUUACCUUCUAACUCAGGGUCAUCAAAUUCAUGGGCAACAUUUCUCUAGUGAACGCCCCGUGAUUAUCUCUGGAGCUCUCCCCUAGUAAGCUGAUGUUGCUCAUUCCAAAGAAAUGGCAACUAUGUCAUAAUUGUCACCUGCCUGCAACAAUCUUAAGAUGCCAUAUUGUAACGAGC
rnacentral:lncRNA from 13 species